CUGGGCCUUCCUGCUGGGGUGUGCUGCUCUCCCCACAUUGUGUGGGCACCAGCACUAUCCACUUAGCACCUCAACCCCCCGGGGCCUCUUCACUCGUCUCCCAGGGGCUCCCCUAAAAGCUACUUGCUCCUGAGCUCCAAUUGUAAUCAAGUCCCAAAGCAGCUGGGUUUAAAGACACAAUUAUGCAUUAUGGAUAAAGGGCAGGUCACCCUCCCCCGCCAGCCAGCUGGGCAUCUGUGCUUGCCCCACGGCUCCCAUCAGAGGCUCCAGCAGGCCUGUCCCUCCCCUGGGCACACAGAGCAAGCCAAGGCGCCCCUUGGUGCCCGCAGUCCCAGGAGCCGAGCACGGGGCUCCUGGCUGCAGCCGCAGAAAGGCCCUCUUGCUGGGAUCCCACUACAAAUUGAUGAACGCUAAUGACCUGCUUCCUCCAUCUGGUACCACAAUCAUGAAGAUGCUCCCAAACGCUGGGAGUUGGGGGGUAUUCUUUUUUUCUUUUCCUUUUUGCCUUUUUUUCAAAUAUUUAUGAAGAGAUUUUCCAUUUAUCCUGACACGUCUUCUCCACCGUGGGUGUCAGCUAGGAGGGCUCAGACAACAAACUCCAGAAGGUAUUUUCCCCAAAGCAGCAUCUGGCUCCGUUGGCAAGUACAGCGGGUGGUUUGCUGGGAAUUGGCCGAGGAAGAGGGAGGAGGAGCCACAGGCUGGCAGCCUCCGGUCCUGGCUCUGUGAUGCUCCCAGGGAUGGGGCUGGAGCAUCCCAAGAGAGCAGCCAGGAUACAGGACCUCACAGGCACCCCCACCAGCCUCUCUCUCACUCUCACCCUUCAAGUCUUCUGGUCUGAUGCCAAAGCUCCCCAGCUCCCCAGGUAAACCACCUGGGUGGUGACCAGUUCUCCACGGCAGCCUCUAAGAGUCUUCUUCAGCGACAAUUCCCAGUGGGACAAGUUGGUAAAGGAGAGGGUGCUGGCUUGGCCCCUGCAUCUCAAGCUCUCCCCUCCCAGGAAGCCUUCUAAAGGCAGAGCCAGAGGCCUCCCUCAUUCUCCCUGAUGGGCAUUUCCCACCUUUGGGGACAGUGUGACCCACACCGGGGACAGAGAGAGUUGGCUGGGCAGCAGGGCUAGAGGUAGCAAUAAGAACCUUAUGGAAUCUCCCAGGUCACACCAGCUUAACUGCUGUCUUCUGUACUCACUGUGGC
rnacentral:lncRNA from 1 species